rnacentral:rRNA from 1 species
GAUGAACGCUGGCGGCGUGCCUAAUACAUGCAAGUCGAGUGAACAGACGAGGAGCUUGCUCCUCUGACGUUAGCGGCGGACGGGUGAGUAACACGUGGAUAACCUACCUAUAAGACUGGGAUAACUUCGGGAAACCGGAGCUAAUACCGGAUAAUAUAUUGAACCGCAUGGUUCAAUAGUGAAAGACGGUUUUGCUGUCACUUAUAGAUGGAUCCGCGCCGCAUUAGCUAGUUGGUAAGGUAACGGCUUACCAAGGCAACGAUGCGUAGCCGACCUGAGAGGGGGAUCGGCCACACUGGAACUGAGACACGGUCCAGACUCCUGCGGGAGGCAGCAGUAGGGAAUCUUCCGCAAUGGGCGAAAGCCUGACGGAGCAACGCCGCGUGAGUGAUGAAGGUCUUCGGAUCGUAAAACUCUGUUAUUAGGGAAGAACAAAUGUGUAAGUAACUAUGCACGUCUUGACGGUACCUAAUCAGAAAGCCACGGCUAACUACGUG